AGAAUUUCUCCAGUUGGCCUAUUUGGCAUGUUGUUGGUACUUGGUGUAUUGCUUAAUUACCUGUCUCCUUUUGAAAAAAAAAUUGUAAUUUUCAAAUUCUCUCUCUUUGGUAGCAUAUCCUUAUUUCUUUAUUAUCUUCAAGUGCGUGAUUAUCAUGACAUGCUUUUGGACUAGCUGAACUAGAUAAGCCCACAUUUUCAAUUGUG
rnacentral:misc_RNA from 1 species